rnacentral:rRNA from 1 species
AUACGGAGGAUGCGAGCGUUAUCCGGAUUUAUUGGGUUUAAAGGGAGCGUAGGCGGGAGCUUAAGUCAGCGGUUAAAUGGUGCGGCUCAACCGUGCCCUGCCGUUGAAACUGGGUUUCUUGAGAGUGCAAGAGGCGGAUGGAAUUCAUGGUGGCGCGGGGAAAUGCUUAGAUAUCAUGAAGAACUCCGAUUGCGAAGGCAGUCCGCUGGGGCACGUCUGACGCUGAUGCUCGAAGGUGCGGGAAUCAAACAGGAUUAGAUACCCUGGUAGUCCGCACGGUAAACGAUGAUUACCCGCUGUCGGCGGUAGACAGUCGGCGGCCAAGCGAAAGCGAUAAGUAAUCCACCUGGGGAGUACGCCGGCAACGGUGAAACUCAAAUGAAUUGACGGGG